AACAUCGCGCACCUGCGGGAACCUGCGGAGGGAUCAUUACAGAGUUGCAAAACUCCCUAAACCAUUGUGAACGUUACCUAAACCGUUGCUUCGGCGGGCGGCCCGGGUCCUUCCCGGCGCCCCUCGGCCCUCGCGGGCGCCCGCCGGAGGUAAACCAAACUAUUGCAUUGUAUGGCCUCUCUGAGUCUUCAGUACUGAAUAAGUCAAAACUUUUAACAAUGGAUCUCAGAUCGGAAGAGC
rnacentral:misc_RNA from 1 species